GAUUGCUGAAAGCAGUGAAAUGCAAGUAGACAGUGCCACCGACAUACUUUUUUGCGACUGACUCACAUGCAGUACUGCACAGACUUCAGAUUGGUUGGUCCCCAGACGAAUGGCAGAAAUCAAUGUAAAUGCAUGGUAAUACCUUUAUCUGGAUGUAUGAGCCAGGCUAUGCUGGGGUAUAGCUAAAUAAGGAAACUGAAAAGUUUGCAAGAGAAGCUCAUUUAUCAAAUUGAACACAACUCUAUUGGGAGGGUAUCUAUCUCCUCUGUGCUAGUAAAGUGAAAGAAGCAACCAUGGAAGCCUUUUAUCAACAUUCAGAUGGAAUGGGACUGCUGGAAAACACUUGGUGUAGCCAGGAUAAGCAAAAGACAGGGAAUCAGUAGGACAGUAUAUAGCUGGAAGCCACUGGUAAUAUUAGUAAAGAAGAUUGUAUUCACAUGAGAGGUCAGCUCCUAUCUGCGCAAAACUUAGGAUUGCCACCCAGUACUAACUCAACUGUAAAUGACAAAAGUUGGAGGCUGCUUAGAGCUAAAAGGACCAAGAUGUUUUUUCAAGAAAUACGAGAAUUAGACGGUGGCUGUUUUGGGCUUUUCCUACCACCUAUCACGACGAAUUUGAUUGGAAGCAGAUUUCUACCAGCUUCCUGACAAUAUUUCUGAGAGCUUUCUCUAGUAUAGGCGCCUCCUUCUUAAAUAUGAUAUUCUUUAUUGUUUUUGUGUGCUGAAUAAACAUGAUGGAACAUACUUGAGAAUA